AGGACCCCACUUUAUAAAGCUUCGAAAGCCAUUCGCGCAGCCUCUUUUCUCUUCCGCACACAGUUGGGAUAACGUGGAUAUGGUGAUCAGUAAUGGAGCAGUUGUCAUGAGUCUUAUACUCGAGAUUUACAAUGAAAGAUGCUAAUGUUGAAGAAUUCGUGAAUUCUUCCAGGCUGUCUGUUAAAGACAAAUAAUCCCAGAUCGGAGAUGGGUGACUGAUAGGUUUACUCUCCUGCCAGUAAUGCCCACCACAGUUAUGAGUGCAUGUUUAAUUGUGUGAAAAGGCCUUCUGUUGAGUGGCAAAAUGUGAUCAAAACUGAAAAGGAUGAUGGGUACACUAAACAGUAAGGUAUCCAAAUGGCUGCAAUGGGGGAGCAGGUUACUAUGAAAGCUCCUGACUCGGAAAUGGAACAACGCUGUAUCAUUUAGUGCUAAUUGUGAGGCUGACAAAUCGAAAAGGUGCUGAAACUUUGUGUGUCUCUCAGCUGUUAGGUCAAGGAGAAUGGAGAAUCUGGAUCCCCUUUAUAUUGGAACAGCUUGACUGUGUUACAGCGGACUUUUUGUGCUUCUGCUAAUGUCUUUGUAUUUUAAUUAAAAUUUUAUUGAUCAGUCGAUCAAUUGAACAGAAUAGAAUUUCUAGAGAGGUGAGAGAGACAAAAAAGACAGUGCCAACUGUAAACAAGAUGAGAAUCAAAUAAUUCUAUAUCUACGACAGAAGUAUGGAUGUUACGUGAGAGUGUAGCACUACAUCCUGUGAAGGAAGAGCACAGAAAAAGUUAGAACAGGAGAAGCAUGCAGGACGAGGAUCGUGAAUCUGGGUGUACAACUGGAAUGUGGUGGGACUGAGGGUGAAUUACAGAGGUCUAUAGAACGAGAAUAUGAUCAUGAUCCACAUGCUCUUUUAUGGUUACAUGCAUAUUACAAUGAGAAGUCCCACAUCCAGUGAGAGAAUCCCAGCGGUGUGGGGCUACUGACACAUGGAAGUGAAUUGACCCCUCCGUACAGGGCACUUAACCACGCCUCCUGAAGUGACGUCACGCCACGUGCGCUGACGUAAGACAAACAGUAAAAAUGGCAAAUACAAUACAUUCUUAACUGAGACAGACUCCAUGCUUCGGGUUUCAUUCAAAUCAACGACAUAUUAUAGAUUCUAAAUACAAUACAUUCUUAACUGAGAGAGACUCCAUGCUUCUGAUUUGAUUCAAUCAUUCACACGUAGCAAUGUUACGCUCGCGAAGAACGUCUCAUUUAUACGAGACGUGUAUUGAAAAUCAAAUUUAGGGCAUAUCUUCGUGCAAACACAGUCUGGUUAAGCUUCUGGCCGCGAGCCGGCAAGAAAGCAACACGUUUGUGCGGUCCGAUCAUCGCUAAAUAUUGCUCAACAAAGAAUAAGUGUGUCAAUCGUUCACACGUAGCAGUGUUAUGCUAGCGAAGAACUUCGAAUUCAUUUAUACGAGACAUGUAUUGAAAAUCAAAUAUAAGGCAUACCUUUGUGCAAACAUAUCUGUUCCGGUUGAUAUUAGAUGGAUUUAGUUGAUGAUGCGGUCUUCCACAAAGUUUGAUCCAUCGAAGGCAUUUUUCGUACUGGGUCUUCGGUUUUGGAAAGGGUACGAAUCGAACUCCACCAACUAGCCUUUCGGGAUAGCUGUCGUCACUAUUACAAAGUCCAUGACUACACCUCUUAACCAUGUUUUUUGUUAAAUAACCCAAAUACGUGAUAAAACGCUAACAAAACCUAUACUGGACCAUGCAAUGUUGUCUGACAAAAUGGCGGGAGCAAAAACAGGCUUUGGUUUAUGCAGAUCUCUGGUCAAUGAUGCGGAUUGCGCAAUAUCCACGGAGGGGUCAAUUCACACCAUUCUGCUGGAUCAAGUUGUGGGAGUUUUCUUGAACCAGCUAUGCUGUAAACUUGAAUUAAUUUUGAAAGCAAAUAAAAUUUGAGUCAACCUGAAAA